UGGGGAAUUUUUGACAAUGGGGGCAACCCUGAUCAAGCAACGCCGCGUGGAGGAUGAAGACCCUCGGGUCGUAAACUCCUGUCGGAGGGGACGAAAGCGGUCGCAGCGAAUACCUGCGAUCGUUGACGGUACCCUACGAGGAAGCCCCGGCUAACUCCGUGCCAGCAGCCGCGGUAAUACGGGGGGGGGGCAAGCGUUGUUCGGAAUUACUGGGCGUAAAGGGCUCGUAGGCGGCCAACUAAGUCGGAUGUGAAAUCCCCAGGCUCAACCUGGGAACUGCAUCCGAUACUGGAUGGCUUGAAUCCGGGAGAGGGAUGCAGAAUUCCAGGUGUAGCGGUGAAAUGCGUAGAUAUCUGGAGGAACACCGGUGGCGAAGGCGGCAUCCUGGAUCGGCAUUGACGCUGAGGAGCGAAAGCCAGGGGAGCAA
rnacentral:rRNA from 1 species